rnacentral:rRNA from 1 species
UACGGAGGGUGCAAACGUUGCUCGGAAUCAUUGGGCGUAAAGCGCACGUAGGCGGCGGCGUAAGCGGGAUGUGAAAGCCCAGGGCUCAACCCUGGAAGUGCAUCCCGAACUGUGUCGCUUGAAUCUCGGAGGGGGACAGAGAAUUCCCGGUGUAGAGGUGAAAUUCGUAGAUAUCGGGAGGAAUACCAGUGGCGAAGGCGCUGUCCUGGACGAAGAUUGACGCUGAGGUGCGAAAGCGUGGGGAGCAAACAGGG